GUUUCUUUGGCAGUGUCUUAGCUGGUUGUUGUGAAUAAUAGUCAAGGAAGCAAUCAGCAAGUAUACUGCCCUAGAAGU
rfam:Tyto alba contig151143, whole genome shotgun sequence.